rnacentral:rRNA from 1 species
UAUUCCGGUAGACGAUGGGGAUGCGUUCCAUUUAGAUAGUAGGCGGGGUAACGGCCCACCUAGUCUUCGAUGGAUAGGGGUUCUGAGAGGAAGGUCCCCCACAUUGGAACUGAGACACGGUCCAAACUCCUACGGGAGGCAGCAGUGAGGAAUAUUGGUCAAUGGGCGAGAGCCUGAACCAGCCAAGUAGCGUGAAGGAUGACUGCCCUAUGGGUUGUAAACUUCUUUUAUAAAGGAAUAAAGUCGGGUGUGCAUACCCGUUUGCAUGUACUUUAUGAAUAAGGAUCGGCUAACUCCGUG